GACGAACGCUGGCGGCGUGCCUAAUACAUGCAAGUCGAGCGAGUGAAACUAACAGAUUUACUUCGGUAAUGACGUUAGGAAAGCGAGCGGCGGAUGGGUGAGUAACACGUGGGGAACCUGCCCCAUAGUCUGGGAUACCACUUGGAAACAGGUGCUAAUACCGGAUAAGAAAGCAGAUCGCAUGAUCAGCUUUUAAAAGGCGGCGUAAGCUGUCGCUAUGGGAUGGCCCCGCGGUGCAUUAGCUAGUUGGUAAGGUAAAGGCUUACCAAGGCGAUGAUGCAUAGCCGAGUUGAGAGACUGAUCGGCCACAUUGGGACUGAGACACGGCCCAAACUCCUACGGGAGGCAGCAGUAGGGAAUCUUCCACAAUGGACGCAAGUCUGAUGGAGCAACGCCGCGUGAGUGAAGAAGGUUUUCGGAUCGUAAAGCUCUGUUGUUGGUGAAGAAGGAUAGAGGUAGUAACUGGCCUUUAUUUGACGGUAAUCAACCAGAAAGUCACGGCUAACUACGUG
rnacentral:rRNA from 1 species